UAAUGUAUUUAACGUAAAACUUACAAUUCGCUAUAUUCUUUGAAUAUUUGAUUUGCCUGACUGCCGUGCAACGUCGCCAUGCCACCUAAAGAAUCAAAGAAAAAGGUGGAGGGCCUGACGCCGUAUCAAGGCAAGAAACGGUGUUUUGGGCAGUUCAAGUGUCCCACUUGUAACCGCACCUGGGUGUCUUCCCACUCAUGGGCCAAUUUCGGCCAAAACUGCACUAUGUGCAAAAUUAAUGUAUAUCCUCAUAUACAGAUGCCACUAAAUAAACCAGGCUAUAUGGGCAAGAAAAUUGACAAAAAGAAACGUCAUCCCCAAGAGUUGUGCGAAAAAUGCCGUAGUUUGGGGCGAUACUGCGUCUCUGAACUGUCAGAACCUGUUGAAC